ACCCUAUAGUCUAUAUAGUGGUAAAACAACCGAACCGGCAAUCGGGAGACACGGGUUCGAUUCCCGUUGGGAGUU
rnacentral:tRNA from 1 species